rnacentral:rRNA from 1 species
UACGAAGGGGGCUAGCGUUGCUCGGAAUCACUGGGCGUAAAGCGCACGUAGGCGGACUCUUAAGUCGGGGGUGAAAUCCUGGAGCUCAACUCCAGAACUGCCUUCGAUACUGGGAGUCUUGAGUUCGGGAGAGGUGAGUGGAACUGCGAGUGUAGAGGUGAAAUUCGUAGAUAUUCGCAGGAACACCAGUGGCGAAGGCGGCUCACUGGCCCGAUACUGACGCUGAGGUGCGAAAGCGUGGGGAGCAAACAGG